rnacentral:rRNA from 1 species
UCAAUAAGCGGAGGAAAAGAANCCAACAGGGAUUGCCCUAGUAACGGCGAGUGAAGCGGCAACAGCUCAAAUUUGAAAUCUGGCUUCGGCCCGAGUUGUAAUUUGCAGAGGAUGUUUAUGGUGCGGUACCUUCCGAGUUCCCUGGAACGGGACGCCACAGAGGGUGAGAGCCCCGUCUGGUUGGAUACCAAACCUGUGUUAAACUCCUUCAACGAGUCGAGUAGUUUGGGAAUGCUGCUCUAAAUGGGAGGUAAAUCUCUUCUAAAGCUAAAUACUGGCCAGAGACCGAUAGCGCACAAGUAGAGUGAUCGAAAGAUGAAAAGCACCUUGAAAAGGGGGUUAAACAGUACGUGAAAUUGUUGAAAGGGAAGCGUUUAUGACCAGACUUGUGUCGUGUGGCUCAUCCGAGGUUCUCCCCGGUGCACUCCACGCGGCUCAGGCCAACAUCGGUUCUUGUUGGAGGAUAAGAACAGUAGGAACGUAGCUCUCCUUCGGGGGAGUGUUAUAGCCUAUUGUACGAUACUCUGAUGGGGACCGAGGACCGCGCUUCGGCUAGGAUGUUGGCGUAAUGGUCAUUAGCGACCCGUCUUGAAACACGGACCAAGGAGUCGUCCAUUAGAGCGAGCGUUUGGGUGUAAAACCCGCACGCGUAAUGAAAGUGAAAUUAGGUGAGAGCUUCGGCGCAUCAUCGACCGAUCCUGAAGUUUACGGAUGGAUUUGAGUAAGAGUUUUAACGGACGGACCCGAAAGACAGUGAACUAUGCUUGAAUAGGGUGAAGCCAGAGGAAACUCUGGUGGAGGCUCGCAGCGGUUCUGACGUGCAAAUCGAUCGUCAAAUUUGAGCAUGGGGGCGAAAGACUAAUCGAACUGUCUAGUAGCUGGUUACC